rnacentral:rRNA from 1 species
UACGUAGGGGGCUAGCGUUGUCCGGAAUCAUUGGGCGUAAAGAGCGUGUAGGCGGUCCGGUAAGUCCGCUGUGAAAGUCGGGGGCUCAACCCUCGAAUGCCGGUGGAUACUGUCGGGCUAGAGUGCGGAAGAGGCGAGUGGAAUUCCUGGUGUAGCGGUGAAAUGCGCAGAUAUCAGGAGGAACACCUAUUGCGAAGGCGGCUCACUGGCCCGAUACUGACGCUGAGGCACGAAAGCGUGGGGGAGCAAACAGG